rnacentral:rRNA from 1 species
GACGAACGCUGGCGGCGUGCCUAACACAUGCAAGUUGAGCGACGAACCAGGGCUUGCCCUGGGGCAAAGCAGCGAACGGGUGAGUAACACGUGGGUAACCUACCCCGAUAACCGGGACAACCCGAGGAAACUCGGGCUAAUACCGGAUGUGCUCACUGGACUUCGGUUCAGUGCGUAAAGGAAGCUUCGGCCUCCGUAUCGGGAGGGGCCCGCGGCCUAUUAGUUUGUUGGUGAGGUAACGGCUCACCAAGACCGCGAUGGGUAGCUGGUCUGAGAGGACGAUCAGCCACACUGGGACUGAGACACGGCCCAGACUCCUACGGGAGGCAGCAGUGGGGAAUCUUGCGCAAUGCGCGAAAGCGUGACGCAGCAACGCCGCGUGGGGGAAGAAGGCCUUCGGGUUGUAAACCCCUUUCAGGAGGGACGAAGGUUCGGCGGUGAAUAGCCGUCCGGACUGACGGUACCUCCACAAGAAGCCCCGGCUAACUACGUG